AUUGAACGCUGGCGGCAUGCCUUACACAUGCAAGUCGAACGGUAACAGGUCUUCGGAUGCUGACGAGUGGCGAACGGGUGAGUAAUACAUCGGAACGUGCCUAGUAGUGGGGGAUAACUACUCGAAAGAGUGGCUAAUACCGCAUGAGAUCUACGGAUGAAAGCAGGGGAUCGCAAGGCCUUGUGCUACUAGAGCGGCCGAUGGCAGAUUAGGUAGUUGGUGGGAUAAAAGCUUACCAAGCCGACGAUCUGUAGCUGGUCUGAGAGGACGAUCAGCCCCACUGGGACUGAGACACGGCCCAGACUCCUACGGGAGGCAGCAGUGGGGAAUUUUGGACAAUGGGCGCAAGCCUGAUCCAGCAAUGCCGCGUGCAGGAUGAAGGCCUUCGGGUUGUAAACUGCUUUUGUACGGAACGAAAAGCCCCGGGUUAAUACCCUGGGGUCAUGACGGUACCGUAAGAAUAAGCACCGGCUAACUACGUGCCAGCAGCCGCAGUAA
rnacentral:rRNA from 1 species